GACGAACGCUGGCGGCGUGCUUAACACAUGCCAGUCGAACGGAAAGACCCUGCUUGUGUGGGGUGCUCGAGUGGCGAACGGGUGAGUAACACGUGAGUAACCUGCCCUUGACUUUGGGAUAACUUCAGGAAACUGGGGCUAAUACCGGAUAGGAGCUCCUGCUGCAUGGUGGGGGUUGGAAAGUCUCGGCGGUUGGGGAUGGACGCGCGGCUUAUCAGCUAGUUGGUGGGGUAGUGGCUUACCAAGGCUUUGACGGGUAGCCGGCCGGAGAGGGUGACCGGCCACAUUGGGACUGAGAUACGGCCCAGACUCCUACGGGAGGCAGCAGUGGGGAAUAUUGCACAAUGGGCGGAAGCCUGAUGCAGCAACGCCGCGUGCGGGAUGACGGCCUUCGGGUUGUAAACCGCAUUCGCCUGUGACGAAGCGUGAGUGACGGUAAUGGGUAAAGAAGCACCGGCUAACUACGUG
rnacentral:rRNA from 1 species